rnacentral:rRNA from 1 species
CCCAAGCGUUGUUCGGAUUCACUGGGCGUAAAGGGUGCGUAGGUGGCGCGGUAAGUCGGGUGUGAAAUUUCGGAGCUUAACUCCGAAACUGCAUUCGAUACUGGCGUGCUUGAGGACUGGAGAGGAGACUGGAAUUCCUGGUGUAGCAGUGAAAUGCGUAGAGAUCAUGAGGAAGACCAGUGGCGAAGGCGGGUCUCUGGACAGUUCCUGACACUGAGACACGAAGGCCAGGGGAGCAAACGGG